UACUUUGUUGAUCACCUAAACCUGUGUCUUGUUUGUGUUUUCAGAGUUUAUGCAAAUUAGCAUCUGUAUUUGGUUAUAUUGCUUUCAUAUUUUCCACUGUAGCUGGUUGUGUGUGUUUUUUUAUUGUCGAUCAGUAAUUGAAGUUUCAAUUAGAAUCUAAUUGUUUAUCUCUUUUCUGAUGAUUGACUGCUCUCUCUACUAACUUGAUUAACAGUUUUCAACACCUAUUUAUGAUCAGUUAUUAGUGUAAUGUUUGCUAACAGUUAAUUUAUUCAAAUCACAACUUUCAAUUAAGUUUAAUUAGUUGAACUCUCAUCACCGAGACCAAUUGUUUUAUUCAGCUCAGUAUCUAAUUGUAAUGAUUAACUGGUUGAUCACUUGAAAGAGAGUUGAGCUGAUAAUUCAAUGAGUGCUUAUUUUUUUUGUCAACUUGUUUUUCUGUACGAUUGACUGCUUAAGCUGUGCUCUUCUUAUUAAUAAUAGCUCUGAUCGGAGAUGUUAACUCUUACUGACGGCAUAAUAUUGUCAUUAUUAUACUUUUACGUUAUUAAAUAAUUCUUUCUGUCAUUUUUCACUCAUAAAGUUCUACUAUUGAAGAUAUUGCUCAAAAACAGUAAGCCUGAAGGGUUUAUUUUGAAGGUUCUACUACAAUUCACAUCCAAUCAGUUGGCAAAAAAGAUGUUAUUACAAAGAAAUUAUGACUACUCUCGUUUUAUUAUCGUCUCUUGUGUAUCCACUUGAAUACCCUUCAACAAUUUACCCUUUGCCUGCCUCGCUAAUUCAUUUAGCAAACUGUCAAACUUGAUCAGUUAUGGUUUCAAUGAUUUUCAUCAGCAAAACCCCAUUGUUCCACAUUUGAUCCAGUUAAUUGUGCGUUAACACAGCUGAGAAUGAGAUGGCUAUUGAUACUGUUGUGAAUAAUUCCGCGAAGAUAUAGUUGCUUGUGAAUCCAUCUUUUUACUGUUUACUUUGCUCAUAACCAAUUUUACUCCUUAAAGCCAAUUGAUUUUAUUCAUCAUCUCAAUAAUUAUUGCCACUUGCAGCCUUAAAUAUGCGUCAAGACUUGAAUCCAUUGGAAGUUGAUAUUGUUUUCAAUUGUGAGUCGGUGUAACCUGCAAACCAAAACAAGUAUAAAGGAAAGGAUAAACUGUUUUGGAUCAAAAAGAAAUCAAUUUCCCUCACUAACCCUUAUUUAAAGAUAAUCACCAUCUCACCUGUAUCCAUACAUCAAAGCUAUUUUGAUUGAAGGAUCUCAUCAUCAAUUUAAUGUGCUAUAAUCGUUUAUCAUUGUUAUUUCAUUAUUAAUUGUGAUCAACACCAUUCUAAUUCUAUUCGACUGUUACUUUUAUAUAUUUACACUCACACAAUAACAUCAUUAAAAUAAGUAUCUAAGCUAUCACGACGACAACGACGACGACCACCAUCACUACAAACACAUCUACCACCAGCAGCAGCAUAACAACCGCCACCACUAACAACAAUAAAAAUAAUCAUAACAGGAUAACUCUGAUGAGGGUGUUGAUGAAAUAUUUAAUGUUGGCUUGAUCGUGUCCUUAAAAGAAGAAAAAAAAUACAAGAAAAAUAUCUUGGUUUGAUGGAUUAAAGGCGUUGAAAUUAAGUCAAGCAACGGUGUUAAA